UUCUUAGUUAAACUAUUCUUUG
rnacentral:tRNA from 4 species